AACCGUUUUUGUCGAACUUUAAGAAAUAUUUUUUCACAAUGAAAUUUCACACAGUGUUGUUGGCCGUUGCUAUUUUUGUUGGCGUCACAGAAGGAUGUUGGAAAUGCGGCAGAAGAAACAACAAUGCAGCGCAACAACAACAGAACCAACAACAACCGAAUAAUAACAACAACAACAACAACAACGGGAUUCCGCUUGUAGUAGUUCAUAGUCAGGGUAACAAUAACAAUGGCGGCAACAAUGACAUUGU